GUUUUGUAGCUUGGUGGUAGAGCAUCUGCCUUGCAUGCAGAAAGUCCCAGGUUCAACCCCUGAUAUCUCCA